ACUAACUGGAGGACCGAACCGACUAAUGUUGAAAAAUUAGCGGAUGACCUGUGGCUGGGGGUGAAAGGCCAAUCAAACCGGGAGAUAGCUGGUUCUCCCCGAAAGCUAUUUAGGUAGCGCCUCGUGAAUUCAUCUCCGGGGGUAGAGCACUGUUUCGGCUAGGGGGCCAUCCCGGCUUACCAACCCGAUGCAAACUGCGAAUACCGGAGAAUGUUAUCACGGGAGACACACGGCGGGUGCUAACGUCCGUCGUGAAGAGGGAAACAACCCAGACCGCCAGCUAAGGUCCCAAAGUCAUGGUUAAGUGGGAAACGAUGUGGGAAGGCCCAGACAGCCAGGAUGUUGGCUUAGAAGCAGCCAUCAUUUAAAGAAAGCGUAAUAGCUCACUGGUCGAGUCGGCCUGCGCGGAAGAUGUAACGGGGCUAAACCAUGCACCGAAGCUGCGGCAGCGACACUGUGUGUUGUUGGGUAGGGGAGCGUUCUGUAAGCCUGUGAAGGUGUGUCGUGAGGCAUGCUGGAGGUAUCAGAAGUGCGAAUGCUGACAUAAGUAACGAUAAAGCGGGUGAAAAGCCCGCUCGCCGGAAGACCAAGGGUUCCUGUCCAACGUUAAUCGGGGCAGGGUGAGUCGACCCCUAAGGCGAGGCCGAAAGGCGUAGUCGAUGGGAAACGGGUUAAUAUUCCCGUACUUGGUGUUACUGCGAAGGGGGGACGGAGAAGGCUAUGUUGGCCGGGCGACGGUUGUCCCGGUUUAAGCGUGUAGGCUGGUUUUCCAGGCAAAUCCGGAAAAUCAAGGCUGAGGCGUGAUGACGAGGCACUACGGUGCUGAAGCAACAAAUGCCCUGCUUCCAGGAAAAGCCUCUAAGCAUCAGGUAACAUCAAAUCGUACCCCAAACCGACACAGGUGGUCAGGUAGAGAAUACCAAGGCGCUUGAGAGAACUCGGGUGAAGGAACUAGGCAAAAUGGUGCCGUAACUUCGGGAGAAGGCACGCUGACACGUAGGUGAAGUGAUUUACUCAUGGAGCUGAAGUCAGUCGAAGAUACCAGCUGGCUGCAACUGUUUAUUAAAAACACAGCACUGUGCAAACACGAAAGUGGACGUAUACGGUGUGACGCCUGCCCGGUGCCGGAAGGUUAAUUGAUGGGGUCAGCGCAAGCGAAGCUCCUGAUCGAAGCCCCGGUAAACGGCGGCCGUAACUAUAACGGUCCUAAGGUAGCGAAAUUCCUUGUCGGGUAAGUUCCGACCUGCACGAAUGGCGUAAUGAUGGCCAGGCUGUCUCCACCCGAGACUCAGUGAAAUUGAACUCGCUGUGAAGAUGCAGUGUACCCGCGGCAAGACGGAAAGACCCCGUGAACCUUUACUAUAGCUUGACACUGAACAUUGAGCCUUGAUGUGUAGGAUAGGUGGGAGGCUUUGAAGUGUGGACGCCAGUCUGCAUGGAGCCGACCUUGAAAUACCACCCUUUAAUGUUUGAUGUUCUAACGUGGACCCGUUACCCGGGUUGCGGACAGUGUCUGGUGGGUAGUUUGACUGGGGCGGUCUCCUCCUAAAGAGUAACGGAGGAGCACGAAGGUUGGCUAAUCCUGGUCGGACAUCAGGAGGUUAGUGCAAUGGCAUAAGCCAGCUUGACUGCGAGCGUGACGGCGCGAGCAGGUGCGAAAGCAGGUCAUAGUGAUCCGGUGGUUCUGAAUGGAAGGGCCAUCGCUCAACGGAUAAAAGGUACUCCGGGGAUAACAGGCUGAUACCGCCCAAGAGUUCAUAUCGACGGCGGUGUUUGGCACCUCGAUGUCGGCUCAUCACAUCCUGGGGCUGAAGUAGGUCCCAAGGGUAUGGCUGUUCGCCAUUUAAAGUGGUACGCGAGCUGGGUUUAGAACGUCGUGAGACAGUUCGGUCCCUAUCUGCCGUGGGCGCUGGAGAACUGAGGGGGGCUGCUCCUAGUACGAGAGGACCGGAGUGGACGCAUCACUGGUGUUCGGGUUGUCAUGCCAAUGGCACUGCCCGGUAGCUAAAUGCGGAAGAGAUAAGUGCUGAAAGCAUCUAAGCACGAAACUUGCCCCGA
rnacentral:rRNA from 1 species